AAAUCUCUCCUUCCCCCAUAACCAAAGCAAAUUAACCUAGCUACCUACCUACAUAUUUAUUCAUCAAAAAGAAAAAAAUAUGGCAGCUCGGUUGGCUCCUGUACUAAUGAAGUUGUCAAGUACAAACAAAGUCCUCCUCCAUGGCCCUAGCACUACAAGUAUUCUGAUAGAACUCUCCGAGACCUCACCUCGGACUCCUUUCUCAGCCGUUGCACCGCCUCGGCCCCGCCAUGAUCAGCUCCCCAUAUUUUCCAGAAUCCAAACUCCCAAAAUCCUCGAAACCAUAUUCGAAGAAGAUACUACUACUACUACUACUACUACUACGUACUGUUGAUCAAGAAGCUCACGUAAAAGCCUUCAUUUUCCAGCAUCACGCUUAAGGAGGACUUCAUUUAGUAUAUAGUAGUAUAAUUAAUGGUGUUUUUCUUUUCUUUUCUUUUUUGUCUAAAUUAAUAUCUAGGUGCAAUGGUGCUUGUAUGAUGGCUGAAAAUUAAUGUUUUUAUUAACUAAUUUUCAAAUAGGGCAUGCUUGUUUGGUGUUUCAUGUGAAUAUAUAUAUAUAUAUAUAUAUAUAUGGGAGCCCUUCCAUAGCAACCGGUUGCUAUGAGAACUGUGCAACAAUCCCUUUUUGUACCGUUGAUAAACUUAUUGGAAGGCUGAGAUUGAAACAUAAAUAUACCCAGCCGGCACAACUUGUACCGGCUUUUAUUUUAAUAUGAG
rnacentral:lncRNA from 1 species